CUUGAUUUUUUUUUUAUAGUUUACUGAAGACAUUGAGUAUGUUGGUAGAUGACAAAUAAAAACCUGUAAAUCAGAACCUACAGGAAGGUAGUACAAUAAAGAUACUAAUUUACAUAUUUCCUGCUAUUGUGCAGCAAAACUUACCCAGUCAGCUAGAAGUCUGUUAAUUUUUAUUCUUAUAUGAGUACAUUGAAUAGUCCCAUUGAACUUGGUGGCAAUUCCCAUGGUUUAAGGUGGAGGUUUCUGAAUUUAAUUUCCUCAUAUUCACUCAUCAGCAGUAACAGUAGCUCCAGGUGGUGUAUCAGGCCUUGUUACUGAGGAGAGAUCCCCCAAACCUCGGUAAAUACUUGCACUCCGUUAAAUGAGAAACCCAUGCUGCUGUCUUUGCCAUCCCCAUUGCCUCAGCUCUGCACCUGCCUGAACAGUGUUAGUACAGUGGCUGGAAAAUAGAGGGUGGGCACAAACAAGGUCUAUUACCAUGUACUGAAGGAAGCUGCCCUGAAGUGUGAUGACAUGAUGUUCUUACUCAUGCCCUUUAGUGUUAGGUAGUCCUGGGAGGAGCAGGGAGUUGGACUCUGUGAUGGUGAUGAGUUCCUUCCAACUUGGGAAAUUCCACGAACAGAAGUGGCCCAUGUGGAGAUACUUUUUGGGUUGUUUGUAUCUUCAUACAAGCAGGAUUAUGAGCUGCAGGGGCAUGGCACUUUGUCUGUAUAUCACACAUGCAACUGUUACAGACAGACUAAAAAUUGAUUCUUACCUUCUUUCCAGCAGUCCUGAGUACCUGUGUAGAAACGCCAGCAGCACUUGCUUGGGGGGAAUAUAAAAUCAAGUACUGUUUUAAGAGUGCAUUGAUUUAGUAUACAUUAUCAUUGUUUAAUGGUACAAGCAGAUGUCCUGGUCCUGCUGUAGCCGCAGUGCCUGCGUUUUAGAUUCUGUAAGUGCGUGUUCACACACAAUCUCUGUCUUUACAAUUCCUCUGUUCUUAGAGCAAGUGGGCGAUUACAGCAAUUGUGCUUUUUUAAACCAAGUCAAGCUAGGUACUUGCCACGUAUCCUACCUGUAAGCUAGGACCGGUAAUAAACAGUGGUUCGGAAAAGCUUUUAAAAACUUCUCUGGCUUUUUACUUCUGGGCUUCUAGGCCACCCUACUUAUAAAUUCAGUCUUCAGCAAUUUCUAGCUGACUUUCUUCCCCACUGCUCACUCUUCUAGCCUGCAGCUAUUCGUUUCUGUUUCCUGACUAAAUCUCUUCAUCUCACUUUCUCUCCAGCUCCUGUGAAUUAUAAACCACAUGUCUGAGCACAGAAUAACUGGAAAUGAACUCCACAGUUUAGGAUUUAUGCCUUGUUCUUUCUGUAAAGAGGACUAUUGCAAUUUACAGUCUUGUCCAUUUUUCUGCAUCUUUGCUUCCUCUGGAAUUAAGUUGUGGUAGUAUACAAAGAAAUCAGCUAAUAUAAGGGUUCUUGGGUAGUCCCAAGAUCUUUCACAGCAGAAAUUAUUCUUGAGUUAAUAUGUACUUUAUUGUUAUCACAUGUUACAGACCAGAGAAUUUUUAUAACUCAUAGAGAUUAACAAAAAAUGCCAUUUUAGGUACUCUUUGCAGUCAGUGUAUGGUAAAAGGAAAUGGAAAUAAUUCCUUGUGUAAGUUGGUUUCAGCUAUAACUUGUGUUAUAGGAGGAGUUAAUCUGUCCAUUAAAUUCUGAAUGAAUGCAAAAGGAAUGUUUGGAUCCAUUCCAGAACUGUCCUAAAGUGUGUGGCUUAUGUGAUUCUGUGAUUAUACAGAGAUUUGUGGGCAAAAAGAAAUAACAUGGCGAAGCAUAUACCUUGUUGUACUUAUUAGUUUGUUCCACCCUUUGCCAUCUACGACAAAAGAUGUGAACAGAGGAGAAAAACAAAGUUCAGAAGCUACAAGUAUUUUAUAAAAAUAUUUUUAAAUGGAGAGGAAGUUGCCAGCACAUCAGUGUGUUUUUUAGUGAUAUCUGAUAUUCAUCAGAUAUUUGACAUUUGGGUACCAAAUUGAUCUGAAUCUUAAGAUACAGUUAUCUAAUUUACUUUGACUGAAUAUCUCUGCCAUGCAUGGUCCCCAUAUAACUCUCUUCAAGGUUCAGAGAAAUCCUAUUGCUUGUAGGGAGGCUGGCAUCAAUCCUCAAGCAUUGAAAACAAAAGAUUCUGUCAAUAACUGAAUGACAGGAAUAUGAUUAGUUCCACUGAUAUAAAUCUUUAAAAAAAUCACUUAAAUUACACACCUGCUUGAUAAAUCUAAUUAAAUGUAUUUUAAGAAUACUAAUGUGUUAGUACCAGAUAAUAGUUCAAUAAAGGUUAUCAGGUACAGUAUCAGUGAUCAUACAUUAAAUGUAUUAAGAUCUGGAUAAAAAUUAGACCUUAAAAUAACUGUCACUAAGUGGGUAAAUUGUUACAGUUACACACAGAAGCACUCUUAACUGAAAUCUAUAAUAAGCCUGAAUAUUUUUCAGUAACCUGAGAUUCCUGUACUUUUUUUCCUCAGUCAUCUGAAAGUGAUUUAAAGUCUUUGCUGAGAAAAAUUUACUGCUAGAUAAUGGCACUUGUACGUAAUGGUGCAGAUCUUUUCAUGACUCAGUUAUGAAAAUGUGCAUUUGCAGCUAUCUAAAAGUCAUUAAAGCUUAAAAAAAAAGGGUUGUAUCUACAAAAUAUAACUGUUCUAGACAGUGAUUUUGGAAAUAAUUUAGAGGUCAAAUAAAUGUAAUGCCAAAGUGGCUAAUGCUGUUAUGGGUAUGUCUUUCUGCUCUUCUAUACUGAAUGGCUUAGUGGUACUUCAUUAACUUAUGAGGUAUUACUGCAGGGCUGGGAAGUGCCCAGAUGCUAUGAAAAUUGUCACCAGACAGGACGGGCCAAAAUUCUUAGCCCUUACCAAUAAUGGUGUUAAAAGCCAAGGUGUAUUGAGAGUUUAGCUGUGGUCUGCAAGUUAAUUCUUCCUACGUGCCAAUUUGUAGGUUUCAGUUACUAAUAGAUAUGUUGUGCAAAUGCAUUGUGCUUGCUUAUGUCGUAAUUUAAAGAUACAAUCUGGAGCUUAGAUAGGACUAUUAAACUAAUUUUGAAUUUCAUAGCCCUGGUAUUGAAAGCAAUAUCCUUUGCAGUAUAGAAUUCCGUGAAUGUUACGUGCCUUAGUAUGUACUAGGUGACUUCAUCGUUUUAGAGAUGAUGCUGAAGCCCAGGUUGCAGGGCUAUGCUUCUUUAAGUAUCCAGUGGGAUUGUUGUUUGCGUGCCUGUAUUCUCACAAAUCACUUAAAUUUGGCUUGCUUUGUAGCCUGGGGAUAACUUGGUGGAUUAAUUUGUAAGAUGUAUCUGAUUAACUUCUUACAAACUUCUGAAUGAAACACAAAGGAAUAAUAAAUGUUAUCCAGCCCUGUGUUUGGAACAGUUGGAUUGUUAGACUACUGAUCUGUAUUAGCAUGAAGAUUUUGCUUGGAAAUUCCUUUUCUUUAGCUUCGUCUGUCAGAAUCAGGGACACUUUGUGGUUUCUUGUGCUUUUUCAGGCCAUAGAAGAUUUUUCUCCUCCAAGUUCCUUAAAUUGUAACAGGGGUAGAUAAGGCUUCCCCCACGCCCCGCUGCCCCCGUUUCCCCUUUUCUCUACACUAUAAAAGAGAGACACCAUCUGACAACCCUCCUUGGGAUAGUGUGUAUAAUUCCAGUUGCCUGUGUUCAAGAAAGAUGAGCAUGGGACAGAACUGGUGUACCAGAAUACUGGGAAUUGCUGGUGGUGAGAACACGCAACUCUUAUGAGCAGAAACUUCAGAUCUGGGAGCAGUUGUGGCCAGAAAAGGAUUUACUGAGGAGGCUGAGGUGGCUGCAACUUCCCCUUCCCAUCUUUAGCAUUGCUUACUGAAGCACAUGCUCCAAGGCAUGUGAUGGGGGAACCAGCUAUGCAGCUCUUCCAUCCUGGCUUUGUUUAUGUGGAGCAGGAAGAGAAACCUAGAAAAGGAAAGACUGGUUUAAAUUAAGACAGCACUGGUGUAAGAACAGAUGUCCAUGGAUGUGUUUAAGUUCAGACACGUGAGCUUUAAACCCUGUCAGGCCAGCGUUUCAGAGUGAUUUGAUGAAAGGGGUUAUAUGGCAUACUUGCUUAUGAUAAUCACGUAUUAACAUAAUGACCUGAGGAUCUCGUGCAGCACCAUGCUUUUACGAAAGCUUCCAUCUACAAUAAGUUGUCUUAAGAUUUUUGUAACAGAUUUCAGUCUAAAUUUCCCUUGCCUUACAGAGUUCUGUAGCAGUCCAUGGUUGUUAAGGCUCUGCCUUUUUCCCUAGGGAUUCGUAUGGAGAGCUGUACAGUUUGUAGAAAUUCUCAGCUUUUUUUCUUAAGGUUCUUAAGAAAAUAAUUUGAAGUGAAAGUAACAUGCUUUGUAGUAGAAGUGCCCAAGUCCAUGACUGUACCAAUUCUGUAGUAAGUUUUGUUACAGCUAUAGUAGGUGAGAGCUUAAAAGAAGCUGAUGAAUUCUGGGUUGGGUUCUGAAUGCCACUGUCUUUAUCCUGAAAGGAGGCACCAAAGGGUAUGUCUGUUUCCCCUCAAAAAAUCCCUCUCUGAACUCUGAUCUGACAGGCUGCCAAUAACUGACCUCUACCUGCUCCUUCCUGUUAAAUAUUUGUUUGUGAAUUAUAUGUUUUCUGGAGGUUUUACAGAAUCCAGUUUUCCCCCUCCAUUAUCUCUCUAUUCAAGACAGCAUUCUCCUUCAGGAAAAUAUUUAAGCACGUGCUUAUCAGUCAUUCAGAUGUUAAAAUGCAGGUGAGGUGCUAUGCCUGUGUGAUUAGCAAAGGGUCGAUUUUGUUUGAGAGCCAUGUAGUUGCUAUGGCCAAUUAAAAUUAAGUGGAAGUUUCACUUCGUUUGGAGGGGGGAGAUGGUGACCUUUCAAAUGUAUUUAAAAAUAUAUAUAUACAUGCGCAAUUUUAUUGAAUGGCUUUUUCUCUUCUGUCAACACAUUUGACUUGGAUGUACCUUUGCAUCUAGAUGAAAAAGAGAAACUACAUCCUUUGAUAUCAGGCAAAUUCAUGCAAGCUUUUUCUUGGGCAGCUGGUGAAGGAAGUACUUUUCUGCAGCGCCUGUUUCUCAGCUGAUAAAUUCUGCUUCACGCAGGUGGUAAUGGAUUGUGUAUUUUUAAGGUUUAUCAGGAUUCUCGUCUGUUAGGGUUUCAUGUUAAGAACUGUGGGAAAUGUUUGUAUGUUUAGGUUUUCUUAGUGCUUCCUAGUUGAUUUUUUAAAAACAGCUAUAACACUGAAUCAGAUAACCUGAUGAAUCUGUCAGAAUUGGAAAUGUGUUCUAAAAAUUGUGUCCACUAUAAGAAUGCUCUGAUUCAAUAAACAUUUCUUCCUUUAAAUAUUCAGCAAUUAAUGCUAGAUGGUUUUAUUUUAAUGUGCCAGGAAACAUAAAUGAAGAAACAACUGCUGGAAUUUGAUGGCUCAGUAACACACAAACUUAUUGAAUGGGCCAAAGCAGUUGAGCUUGAUCCCAAAUAUCCUCGGUAUUCAUGUAUGUUGAAAUAGAUUAUUGUAAUGGUUAGCAGAUUUUGAUAACACAUUUUUACAUGUUUUCUAGGAGAAAAGACAUUGUACUGUGUUAGGAGAUGGGGUACUUUUAGAUACUAUUAAUAUUUUUCAUGCAAGUUCUUUGGCUUCAAGAUUCCAAAUAACAGGGAGUUAAGGCUAACUGUGUUUUUAAAAUGUUUAAUAGAUAAAAGCAAAGCAUGGGAACAAACUUAAGUUGUUAUCAUAGUUAUUUAAAACCCCAGUGCAGAACUGUUGCCUGAGAUUAGGUUCUGUACCAGAAUAAUAAAACCAAAUUGAGAAAGCUGUAUCUUUUGCUGCAGCUACAUAAAGGUCAGUUCCAUGAUGGAUAAAGGUCCUGUCCUUUCCAGGAUGCACAGGUGUCUUGUGCGUGCUCAGUAACUCUGGGAUGUUCUGGAUGCAUUAGGUUUAUUGCAUGUACUCAGAUGAGCCCUAGAGAAUACAGGCUGUAAUUCUGAUGUGCGGGUGGGAUGUUGGAUUUACGCUGCAUAUCCUGUAUGGUUCAUCUGCUUGUGCUCUGUACAUCUGGUGCAUCUAGUAACUGUAAUGGGGAUGGUAGAUAUCUGAUAAUCCAGUGAAAAGAGAAAAAUUAAGUGAAAUUAUUUUGCCAGAAACAUCUUUAAUUUACAGUACUACUUAUUAGAAAAGGGCAGUUGGUCAUUUCUUGGCUGAUUUUUGUGAUGCAGAAAAAAUACGUACAUUUUCAAGUAAACAUACAACAAAGGAAGUAGAACAAGCAUUAAUGUAUUCUUUUAAAAAUUCACUCCAGUAAAAAAAGUAUGGAUCUUUUUACAAGAAAACACUGGCCUGAUGAAUAAUUUCUGCUCAGAUAAACAAACUAGCAUAUGUUUAUGCUAUUGGUGCCAGUCAGAAAGAUAUAUUAUCAGAAGUCCUGAGGAAAUUUGUGCAAAGGCCGUUAAAGGUUCAUUUUUAAAAAAAAAAAAGUUAUUUAGAAAUAGAGACAAUUUGUAAAAUCCUCCAGCCUUGCUCUUGCAUUCUCAUAGUAUGCAGGAUACAUUCCAAAAUACUUUUGUCUUGAACGCCUGCAAGAAAGAUUUAACUUUCUUACUGAAGAAGAUAUGAAAAAGUCUUAAGUGCUUCCAGCUAUUGCAAAUUACAGCUUCAGGUAGUUAAACUCCUGCUAUUUUCAAGCACCCCUCUUUAGAGGGAAAUACGACAUAAAAUAUUUCAGGAAUUUAGUGUUUCAGAUACAGUCUUUGUUUUAACUAAUAUGUGACAAAUUGUAUUAACUUUACUCUCUGACUUUUAAGUAUUUUCUCAAUCCAGCUUUCUUGUUCCUUUAUGUGUUUAUAUAGCAAAGAAAUUAGUUGAGUAUCAACUUUGGUUCAUAUCUAUGUAUGCUAUCUCUUUUACUUCCUCCUUUCAACACACUUGAAUUAACUGUAUGUAAUUAGAAGCAUAUUAGAUAUAUUUGUUAACAGUACAGAUUAUGUGAUCCAGAUCCAAUAAGAAAUCUGUUAUAGCUUGCAAAAUUUUACUUAUAGGUAUUAGGGCUAGAUACUCUGAUACUUUAAAGAAAAUAAACUAUUUUCCCCUCAGCUUUUAUGUCCUCAAAAUGAAGCCAUGGGGAAAAACUUUAAAAUGUAGUUGAAAACGAACAUUUUCAUUAGGUACUGCAUCUAGCAUGCAGAUUUUUGUAGACUGGAAGACUUCUCACACAUUCUCUACAGAUGGGACUGUAUAUCCCCUGAAAUGUUGUGACCCCUCAUGCUGAACUGCCAAAACUUCUCAAAAGAGAUGAAGCUGUGAGGCAGAGCAGGAGUCAGCAAAGGCAAUGGCACUGAAGAGGUAUGGACAUUAUUCCAGUUAAAUGUUUCGGUUUUGGAAAAGUUCUGGGUUCUCUAAAGUGUUGAACUUUUCAGCUACAGUUAGAGAUUUCCCAAGAAACCUGACACUCACUGAAAUACUUCUGCUGUUAAAAUUCUGUGUUAACUUUCUUCGACAAGCCAGCUGAUACGAACUUCUGUCUUUUUUUUCAUUAAAAUGUCUUACAGCUCCUCUUUCAGUUAAUCAAUUUAAGAAUUGGAUAUCAUGAUGGAGUAUCUAUCACACCCCUAGAAGAGUUGACCUAAUAAUUAGUUAUUCACAGUGGUUUAUUUCUGCCAUGUACAUCCCAUUUAAAUUUAUCAAGACUCAACUUCCUGGAAUUGUUUUUUGGUAUGCCCAUAUCUGAUAUUAGAACCCCGUUCUAGACAAGUUCUUGCUGUACAGAUACUGACAAGCUGUUGGUAACACUCUCUGUAUUUAUAUUAAACUGACUUUCUUCAGUCUGUCUCUAGAAUACAAGUUUUCUUGUAGAUUUUUCUUGUAACCCUUUCUGAAGCUUUCCUAUUCAUUAAAUUCAUACAUUAGGGAAUUAUUUUUUUAUGGUGAUAAAUAUUUUCAUAGCAAUCUGUCUUUAUGCCAAGAUUAGCAAUGAAAUUCCUGGUUCUUAAACUUUGUUGUGCAGAGGGUGGGUGUUUUCUGGGAGUUAAUAGCUUCUGAGGUCCAUUUUAAUGGAGAUUUUCUGUAGAGUUUCCUACCAAUGUUUGUGUUUUUCUUUAUUGUUGCCCUUGGGGCCAGAAAAUUUUCUGGUGGAUUCCCAAGUCGUACAGUGAACUUAAAUGGAAAUAAAGCCUGUGAUAAUGAUUGGUAUAAACAACUGACACAAACAUUAAUAAAGCGGUGUAAACAAUUGACAUAAAAUAUAUUGAUAAUAUGAGGUGUCCGUUAUCUCCAUUCUCAAACCCUUUGUAGCAUGGUGACCUUUUAAAGAUAAUUUCCUGAGUAACUACUUCUCGUUAUGAUCAUUGUAGUCAUUAUAAGAUUGUUUCAACCUUUCUUGUAAACAUAUGUAUCCAUAUACGUGCUGUGCCAUCAGUGACAGCUGUGCACAGGGCUGUUCAUUAGAUGCUUACUUAAUGAGCUGUGGAUUUUUAAAAUUCUAGUAAUUUCAGAGAGAUGUUUAAUUGCAUGUGCAAAUGCCAGAAGCAGCAACUAGCUGAGUCGCCUACUCAUCUGUUGAAUAUCUUGAGCGAACUGCCAGGUAGAAGAGGGAGCUGAAAAGUAUCAGUAGGUGGCAGAAAAACACUAGUAUCGUAACAGAAAAGCGUUGCUUUACCUGUGUAACCAGAACAUGAUGUCUCUGCCUUUAAAAUAUUGUAAAGCUUUGAUCUUCUUUCUCUUCUUUGAGCUCUAGAGCCCUUAUCAACAUUGUCUUGACAACAACCUUUUCCUCUAUUGCCAUAUUACUGCUCUCCAGCUAGUACAAAAUCUGCCAUCUGAGGGAACUUUUCAGAUGCUUUGAUGCAAAGUGGACAGCUUCUUUUUCUGUGAUGCUCAGCGAGGACUGAGAGCUGGUGAAAUGAGAGUGUUCACAACACUGAGAACCCUUUAUCUAACACAGGAGUUCCUCUAGGAUACUGCAACUGCAGUUUGGAAUAGUUAUUUUGCUGUUCUGUGGGUGUGUUUUGCUAGGUCAUUUUUGUAUCAGUCUGAAACAGUGAACUCUGAGCUUAGGACUCGAGUCUUUAAUCUGCACAGCAUGGUCUUGCAUCUAGCAGUGCUUAUUAGUUCAAAGGGCAAUGCUGUAUGAAAAUGAUGUGUCUGACUUCCAUGGGCUCUGGAAAUGAUACGGCUGUGUCAACACUAUGCUGUGUCUCGGGCUAAGAAGAUUGGCUAGAUCCAAGUUAUAUGAGGACCCAGUUCUGGAAUUUAUACCUGCAGCACUAUUGUUGCUCAAUCAGUCUGCCAACAGUUUUAGCCUUGUGUCCUCAAUUAUCUCAUCUUUGCAUUUUGAUAGGACGCGUCUUAAGUAUUUUAAUGGUUGCUUAUAUGAGAAAGGACUGGCUUGGAUCAGUUACAAUUCUGUUCUCAGCUCCUCUGGAGCAAUUGAAAGUAAUAUAAAAUUAAAUAUAAAAUAUUCCUGUGGUAUUUACAAAACUCCGUAGGAGGUUUAGGUGUUACAAAAGCAGGGUGGUAGGAUUUUUAAAUGUUACGAAUGAUGAUACUGUACAGUGUCCAGUAGUACAUAUUAUUUACAACAACUACAGUGGGUAUUAUUGUCUGUGAGUACUCUCUGUGUCUGUGUAUGUCUUAGAGCUGAUGUGAGGACAGCCCCCCACUUUGCUACCAUGAUUCCAAAAUAGCCUUUUCCUGAAACCUUUUAAGGAGACACUUCUUUUGUCUUACUGUGAUGGCCAACAGUGAAAGGUGGGGGCAUGUUUCCCUCAUGAUGAGGAGAGCACGAAGACCUGAAGGAGGAACUGAAAUGAAGUUUGUCUGAGAAACACAAAGUUAGAGAAGAAUAGAAAGUUCAGUUACAAUAUUUGGAUUAUUCUAGUCAGGCUCCAGACUCUGCAUUCAGCCAUAGCUGAUGCCUAUCGUGAGAACAUACACUGUAGGAAGUUUGGGAGAAAAGAGUGAAUUAGGAGGUAUUUGGAAUAUAGCUGUGUUUGCCAUAAAAUGUUUAAUCUGUUACUUUACAGGUUACAUUUAUUUACAUUACCUUUGUCAAUUUGAAUGGGAUCAUGCAAAGCGAAUUGCAGAAUACUCGAGGUCUUAACAUCAUAGAAUAGAAACAUAUAAUCAUUGAGCUUGGAAAAGACCCUUAAGAUCAUCAAGUCCAACUCUAAACCUAACACUGCCAAGUCAAUUUCAUUUUACAGGUUCCUUAUAUUUUAAUGUUUAAGUGCAUUGGUCCAGGAUUUCUCUUCUGUUUCUGUGAGACUACAAGACUAUAAAAGACUGUUUCCCAAGAGAAUUUGUCACAGGAUGUGUCCUCCUGGGAAAAGUCCUCUACUGUUCUUCUCUUCAAGUGUUGAUAUCCUUUUCCACAACUUAGUGAGUAGAAUCCUUUGAGGAAGAUAUAAACAGUUAUUAUUUCCUUUUAUGUCUUAUGAUAUAAUGUGAUUCGAAUGGAUUUAAUACCUUAAAUAUGAUCUCUUAUACUGCAUUAAAGUGAUUUUAUGUAAUGCCAACCUUUGAGAAAUAUUACAUAAUUGUAGUGCAUUUCAUGUGACUGUACCACAAGUUUUACUUGGAUAGACCUUGAAUAAGACAUACAUUUCUGACAGAAGUGUGUGAUGGACAGAAUUUUAAAGAUAACACAAUUUUUAACCAUCAUUGCAACAAUCAACCCUCAACUAUCAUCCACUGAAAACAGUUCAAAAUAAUUUAAACUGAAUAUCCAUUUAGUAGGUAUUUUUAUUCACUAAGAAUUGCAGUAUAGGAUGGAUUAAUGCCUUGGAGUACACAGUAUUAUCUACCUAUAUGAUUUUCCUCUGUAGUCAGGCUUUGAAGUUACAAAUCAAAGUGAUUUGUAUGUUCUGGUUUGUAGGACACUAGAAAGAAACAGUUCUUCAAAGAGCAUGUAUUUUAAAAGAAAUGUAAAGCACAACUUCCAAACAGAAGAAAUAAUAACUUGUGGUUUUAACAACAAAGGAAGAAGUUUAGUAAUGAACUGUAUUAAAGGCCCUGAAUCUGCCGCAACAGCUAUUGGAUGUUUAUCCUAACUUAAGUAUGUAUGAGUUUAUUUUAUAGCAUCCAGUAAAAAAAAAACAACUUGUAAAAUCAGUCUUUGACUCACAGUUUAACACUGUAAUUGAUAACUUGCUGGUAGUGACUAUGGAAGCUAAUCCAAUAAAGCAUAAUUUUUAUUGUAAUUCCUAUAGAUGCUUUUUAAGUAAUGUGGAUUGUGGUUCAUUCACUACUAUUUAUUAUGUGCAUACUCUAUUUACAUGUAUUUUAAUUUCUGUAGUUCCUUUUUGCUUGAUUUGUAUCUUUAAUACCUUAUGGAUUAAACACUGGAUGAAAAUGAUGUUGGUAUUUAGAGGACAUCAAAAGUAAAAAUUGCAUAAUAAAUGUAAAUGAGGUGGGAGAUUACUGAAACAAUCUGUUUUAAGUUAAUUUAAAUUCUUGCAGAAUAAUUAUUUGCUUUACAGAGAAGAAAAAAGCAAAAUCUUUAAUUGCUAGCUAAAUACAGACUAUAUGGUUUGCUAUGACAGUCAAACCUGUGUAUGGAAAUAACCAUGUAAUCAUACAGUUCCAGGAGUUUUCAAGUUGAAUUAUGCAAACCCUGGCAACUCUUUCCGCAGAGAGCUCUAGAGGAAGUGUGUGGGGCAGAGGAAGAAGGGGGUUUUCUUAAAAACACACAAACUUUUUAUGUAUCUGGGAGAAAAACAAUAUAACAGAGAGGGGACAAUUUCUGGUCAACAGUUUAUUCCUUAUACUUUUGCAUAUAGUAUUGCAUCAGUUUGGCUGUGGGAAAUAAGAACAACAUGCAGUACUCUUGUGAUGCUGACUGCUUCAUCAAUGGGGAGAAUGUAAGAAUGUGGAGUUAAAUCAGAAGGUAGAAUGGUUUCCUAGUUUAAAUAUAAACCAAUGCAUGUACUAACAUAAGUAUAAACAGGAAUAUAUAAACAGGGAAUGGCUUAUGGAAACAAACAAAACAGGCAGCAUUCUCGAAGAGAAAGUGGUGGUGGAACUGCCUUCAAGCUACUUCUGUGUUCUCACGAUCUAGUGGAUUGAGAAAUUAGAAAGAAUCUUGGCCUUUGUGGUCUCUUUUAGGGUGCAGGGAUGCAUGCUUGCUGCCUUUUUACCAACCAGUUCUCCCAAGUCUUAGGAGACUUUACAAGAAAUUCUCAAAGCGUAUUUACAACCAUCUCUGCGUUGAGGAAGGAUCCCUUUAGAGCACAUAAUCUAAACCUGGGUAUAGAAGCCUGGUAGGGACUUUUCUACUAGUAAAGAACCUGUUUCCCAGUUGGAUCUUAUCCUGUUUUCACAUCUGUCAUUCAACCGUCUUUUGGAUGUGUGGCUACACGCCCACUCCUUCAUCUGUCAGUGGAGAUAGUCUUCUAGGUAUUUAUAAUCUCUGCUAGAAAGGAUAUGGAAUAUCCAAGUCCUUGGAGAUUAUCCUUACUGUGCCACAAUGAGCAAGCACUAAGGUAAGACAAGAGCACUGAGAUAUGACACAAGGCCAGAACCACUCUCCAAAAUAAGGGCGCUUUCCCUGGCAGCUCAGUCUAUGUGGCAUUUCUGGAAUUUCUCCAUCUCUGGAGAUCUGCAGUGAUGCCACCUGGAGUGCAGUUUUUCCUUCUUCAAAAUCUAUUCAUUAAAUAUUGCAACACUUAGCAAAGCAUGACUGUUGUUAGUGUGUUAGAACAAAAGAACCAGAAGAUUCUUCCCUAAGUAACAUAGUUGAUAGGUGUUUGUUUGAAAUGUGCAUAUGGUUGGCCUCUGAAGAAGAGGGUAAAGCAGAACACCGUUUCGCAAAAUCUUUCACAGCCUGUCCUUCUCUUCUGCUGCGGAGUCCCACUAAUAAAUCUGUAGGUCAAACUGAAAGGAGUGCAAGUCUCAAAAGUACCUGCUCUGAUCGGCUCAAGUAUUGGAACAUCCGUAGUGUAACUGCGCUGUUGUGUCAAUACACGUACAAUAAUUUAUGGUUCUUUCUAUUCAAUUGUCUGUUUUAAUUUUCUGAAAAUUUCUAAGCAAUGCUUUAAGUAUCUUUCAUUUCUUUGAAUAUGAUAAAGAUUCCUAGAUACCUGAAGAUGCAUAGAAAAAGAUGUUUAAGGAGAAAAUAAUUCUUUAUUAGAGCUUGGUUACCAGAUAAACCGAGUCCCCAGAAGGUACUUGUAAAAUGCUUUGUUUAAACUACAAGCAUUGCACAUUAGUAGAGCAUCUUUUAUAUAUUAAAAAGUUUUAAUUGGAGAACGGUUCUUGAUAAAGAUACAUAAGUUGGGUUUUUUUUCCUCUUAAAUAAUCCUUCCCAUCUGCAGUUACAGCUGUAAUUCCCCCCAGCCUGUUACCAGAUACCAUAUCUGGACACCAUACAUGCAUUUGCAGUCCGUAACUGAAGCUGUAUAUCAAACCAGCACUCAUUUCUCAGCAAUCCCCAGUAAAGAAUUUUCUCUUCAGGUGUGUUUUCAUGCAUUUGUUUUUGUGGGUCUACUUAGUUUCUCUGAUAAAUCGUGAAUUAAGUAUCCUUUAGUUAAAUUAAAAUGUUAAAAAACAAAGUUACUGUUGCUUACCUCUCAUAGAAUUUCAGUUGGAAGGGACCGACAACAAUCAUUAAAUAAGUAACGAAAAGUGGAAAAUGAAGCUUUUUGGUUGCAAAAUGUAGCAAGACCGUAGCACAUCCUUUCAGUACGAGAAAUAAGCCACUGCGUUAUGUUGUUAUAGGAAGACACUUCACUAUGUUAUCUGUGGAAUAAACUCUAAAUUGGCAUUCCAAUGGCUGUAAAUCUCCUAGUAAUUAAUGACUGAUUAGGAUGAAAAAAUUUCUGCAGGAUAUGUAGCCUUACAGUGGUCUUCUAAAUGAUACCUAGAAUACAGAAAAUGCGUGCCUUGAGAGCGCCUUAGUGGGUUGCUCUAUGGCAGUGCUCUUCCAUCUUGCUUUUCUCUGAACAUUUGAAUUUUCUCUCCUGAAACAGCAAGUAGUAUUUUUAAACAGGUUUAAAAUGUGUAUACCAGCUAAUAGGUGUAAUAACAAUUUAAGUGACUUGCACUGAGGAAUAUGAGCAUUACAUACUGCAUCUAGGUUUGCCGUUUUAACACCUGUAUGUCUUCCUUAAGUCUCGCUUCUUCUCUUGGUAGGACUGGGACUGGCAGCAGGAGCCCACAUCCUUAGUUGCACUGAGAAUUUUGAAAACCUGAAGCUAUAUAGUUACUCUUUAAAUAUUCAGUUAUAAGUUUGGGUUGGUUUUUUUUUUUGGGGGGGGGGGGUUGGUUUUUUUUUAAUUUUUAAUAGCAAAUACUUUGUCAGAAUGUCAGUCUUGUUUAUUGAAGUUACAGAAAUUUAUUAUGUGACACAUUUUGCUCUUUCCCUGUAAAUUAAAUGUUAAUUUCACAAAUGAAUGUGCUUGUGCUGUAACUUCUACAAUACUGUUGGAAUGGGGACUAAAAAUAGCAGUCUGUAUUUUGUUAUUGCUGCUUUACUUGGUGUUUUCAAAAACUGCCGUUGACAGCCUUGUAAUAAAGUAAGACUAACUGGG